rnacentral:rRNA from 1 species
UACGGAGGGGCUAGCGUUGUUCGGAAUUACUGGGCGUAAAGCGCACGUAGGCGGCUUUGUAAGUUAGAGGUGAAAGCCCGGGGCUCAACUCCGGAAAUUGCCUUUAAGACUGCAUCGCUAGAAUUGUGGAGAGGUAAGUGGAAUUCCGCGUGUAGUGGUGAAAUGCGUAGAGAGUAGCGGAGGAACACCAGUGGCGAAGGCGGUUCUCUGGGCCUUACCUGACGCUGAGGAGCGAAAGCGUGGGAGCGAACGAGGA